CCCCCCCCCCCCCCCCCCCCCCCCCCCCCCCCCCCCCCCCCCCCCCCCCCCCCCCCCUUUGAGUGGUCAGUUGGGUGGUCAGUUGGGUGUUUGAGUGGUCAGUUGGGUGGCUGGGUGGUUGAGUGGUCAGAUGAGUGGUUUAGUGGUUGGUUCAUGGGUCAGUUGUUGGAUGGUCACUUGGGUGGUUGAGUGGUCAGUUGGGUGGCUGAAUGGUUGGUCAGUUCAGUGGUCAGUCGGGUGGUUUGUUGGUUUUUUUGCCGGUCAGUUGAUAAGUUGACCAGUUGGGUGGUUUUUUUGGUCAGUUGGUCAGUCGGUCAGUUAAUCACUGACCCCUCCCCCCUUUACAGUGACCCAAACCAGCAGGUCAGUUGGUCAGUUGGUUGGUCAGGUUUUGAUUGAUCAGUCGGUCAAUUGGUCAGCUGGUCACUCCCUGUCCCCCUCCACAGCGACCCAGACCAGCCGGUCAGUUGGUCAGUUGGGUGGUUUUUUGGUUGGUUGGUCAGUCGAUCAGUUGGUCAGUUGGUCAGUUGGGUGUUGUUUUGGUCGGUUGUGUGGAUGGUUGGUCAGUUGGUCAGUUGGGUGUUGUUUUGGUCAGUUGUGUGGAUGGUUGGUCAGUUGGUCAGUUGGUCAGUUGGUCAGCUGGGUGUUGUUUUGGUCGGUUGUGUGGAUGG
rnacentral:lncRNA from 12 species